rnacentral:lncRNA from 1 species
AGGUGGGGAUUGGGGGGUCACAUUGUGGGCUGGGGGUCAGGGUAUGGAGGGCUGAGGUGGGCACUGAGGGGCAGCGAGGUGCCACGGGGGUGCAGGUGCUGAGGCACAGGGGAGAAUGCAGGGCCUGGGAGGCGGGCAGGGGCCAGGCCGCGGGGGUGGCACGAAGCAGCUUCUCCCUGAGCCUCGUGUGUCGCAGGAUCUGCGCUGGGGGUCGCCUCCGGAGGAGCCACAGCCCUGCAGGCCUGAGUUGUGAGCAAAGGUCGCCGAGUCUGCGUGGGACGUCCGUGUCCCUCAGUAACAGGUGUGAGCAUCCAUGCAGCGUUUGGUGGUCAUGUAUGAUACUGCACACAGUGCGAGCCUGCCUUCGCCAGGGGGAGAGUCCCUGGAUGGCCUCUGGAUUCGUUUCUUUAACCUGUGCUGUAUUGGUUUAAAAAUCGAAUUGUAGAAAUAAAUGACGUUGCCCUUCCUUUACA